GCAGCCAUCGGCCUCCUCCUCCUCCUCCUCGCGGCCUUCGUCUGCUUCGCGAGAACCCGAGCCAGAAAAGGAGACGCCCCGAGACCCAGCAGCACCAUCCCCUUGCGGGUGUUGAAGGCUCCGGCUCAGCAAGAUCCUGUCUACGCCUCCGUCGAUGAAGGGAAACAGCCGCAGAGCCUGACCCAGGAGCCCGACCCCGGCGCCGAGGGACUCACCUAUGCCGAGCUGGACCACCAGGCGCUGCAUCACAAGCGGGGGGCC